GGAGCCGGACGGGCCGUCGCCGCGGAGCACAUCCGGGGAGGAAAGUCCGGGCUUCACAGGGCAGGACGCUGGGUAACGCCCAGGAGGAGCAAUCCUCGGACAGCGCCACAGAAAGCAAACCGCCCGGAAUGCGCAAGCCUUCCGGGUAAGGGUGAAACGGUGGGGUAAGAGCCUACCAGUCGUCGCGGCGACGCGGCGAGCUUGGCAAGCCCCGUCUGAAGCAAGACCAAGUAGGGGAGCGGGCCGGCCCGGCCUACGCUCCCGGGUAGGUCGCUGGAGGGCACGGGCAAUCGUGCCCCUAGAGGAAUGACGGCCGCCGCCCGCUUCGGCGGGCGGAACAGAACCCGGCUUACAGUCCGGCUCCCAUC
rnacentral:RNase_P_RNA from 1 species